GGGGGUAUAGCUCAGUUGGGAGAGCGGCUGCCUUGCAAGCAGGAGGUCAACGGUUCGAUCCUGCUUACCUCCA
rnacentral:tRNA from 1 species